AGAAAAAUAAGCUAAUUAAGCUAUUAGGUUCAUACCCUGCUUAUAGAAGUAAUAAACCCUUCUUUUUUCUA
rnacentral:tRNA from 1 species